CGUCCCACUCCCAACCCUAACUCUUCAAAAUGGCCCACUCCCAACCCUGACUCUCCAAAACGGCAAACAAGCGCAGCACUCCCAUCAGGCCAUCACCCUUCCUCUCAUCGUCAUUGAGCUCCUCCUUCACUUCCGUCUCGCCACCGGCAAGCAACCGCCACCAUCGCAACUUGGAGCUUUAAAGCCACCGUCGCAACGUCGUUCUCCUCCAUCGCUUCGAAACCACUGUCACCGGCCUAGCCUCCUGCCUCUGUCGCGCAGCCACUGUCCUGCCGUCGCCAGUUCUGUUCCACUGCGUCAGUCCUUCGGUCGUGCCCUGUUCCUUUCUUGCUGCUAAUCUGCGCUGCUUUGUUCUAGCAUUUAGUUCUAGAACCUUGAUCAUCAGAUUUACAGAGUACUUUGGGCACAAUCCAAAAAAGAAACAGGAGAAGGCAUUGAUGUAAAUAGACAAUUAUCACUGUCUGCACAAGCAAGUCCUCUACUAGAAUCACCACGAAAGACAACUGUUGAUCCAACAUGAAGACAAUUCAAUAGAUAUCACUUAUUAAGAACAUACCUAUGUUAUGAGGGAAAUUUUACCAAUCUAUUAUUUUAUCAUUUUUAUGUACUAUCGGCUCGGGUAAGUCAAAAGAAGACAUCACAUUGGUGAAAGGAAUGAAAACUUCACAUUGCUCAAACCCCCUCCCCCCUUCAAAAUUCAAAAAACUAAGAAUAUAUUUAGUUUGUA